GGGCGAAAGUCCCCGGGCGCCGAGGCAGAAAGUGCCAGCCCGCGAGGGCAGGGCCUCCCCGGGCCACCGUACGCGGGUCCGGCCGGGGAGCAACUCGCCAUAGCGACAGUCAUGUGGCCAGCGGGU
rnacentral:RNase_MRP_RNA from 1 species